rnacentral:rRNA from 1 species
AACGAACGCUGGCGGCAUGCCUAACACAUGCAAGUCGAACGAGACCUUCGGGUCUAGGGGCGCACGGGUGCGUAACGCGUGGGAACCUGCCCUUAGGUUCGGAAUAACUCCCCGAAAGGGGUGCUAAUACCGGAUAAUGUCUUCGGACCAAAGAUUUAUCGCCUUUGGAUGGGCCCGCGUUGGAUUAGCUAGUUGGUAGGGUAAAAGCCUACCAAGGCGACGAUCCAUAGCUGGUCUGAGAGGAUGAUCAGCCACACUGGGACUGAGACACGGCCCAGACUCCUACGGGAGGCAGCAGUGGGGAAUAGUGGACAAUGGGCGAAAGCCUGAUCCAGCAAUGCCGCGUGAGUGAUGAAGGCCUUAGGGUUGUAAAGCUCUUUUACCCGGGAUGAUAAUGACAGUACCGGGAGAAUAAGCUCCGGCUAACUCCGUG